CCUACGGGUGGCAGCAGUGGGGAAUAUUGGGCAAUGGGCGCAAGCCUGACCCAGCAACGCCGCGUGAAGGAAGAAGGCCCUCGUGUUGUAAACUUCUUUUAUUCGGGACGAAACACAUGGCAGUCCCGCAUGCAUCAGCCACGGCUAACUACGUGCCAGCAGCCGCGGUAAUACGUAGGUGGCAAGCGUUAUCCGUAUUUACUGGGUGUAAAGGGGGUGUAGGCGGGAGAGCAAGUCAGACGUGAAAUUCCAGGGCUCAACCCUGGAACUGGGUUUGAAACUGUUCUUCUGGAGUGAUGGAGAGGCAGGCGGAAUUCCGUGUGUAGCGGUGAAAUGCGUAGAUAUACGGAGGAACACCAGUGGCGAAGGCGGCCUGCUGGACAGUAACUGACGCUGAGGCUCGAAAGCGUGGGGAGCAAACAGGAUUAGAUACCCCGGUAGUC
rnacentral:rRNA from 1 species